CUAAGGUAGAGUACAGUACACAGUACUACAGACCAUCACUAAGGUAGAGUACAGUACAUAGUACACAGUACUACAGAACAUCACUAAGGUAGAGUACAGUACACAGUACACAGUACUACAGAACAUCACUAAGGUAGAGUACAGUACAUAGUACACAGUACUACAGACCAUCACUAAGGUAGAGUACAGUACACAGUACUACAGAACAUCACUAAGGUAGAGUACAGUACACAGUACUACAGAACAUCACUAAGGUAGAGUACAGUACACAGUAAUACAGAACAUCACUAAGGUAGAGUACAGUACACAGUACUACAGACCAUCACUAAGGUAGAGUACAGUACAUAGUACACAGUACUACAGACCAUCACUAAGGUA